rnacentral:lncRNA from 1 species
GAUUUGUUUAUUAUUAUACAUAAGUACACUGUAGCUGACUUCAAAUGUACCAGAAGAGGGUGUUAGAUCCCAUUGCGGGUAGUUGUGAGCCACCAUGUGGUUGCUGGGAUUUGAACUUAGGACCUUCAGAAGAGCAAUUGGUGUUCUUACCCACUGAGCCAUCUCUCCAGCCCCAAUUUCCAGAAUCUGAACAGUGAAUGACAAAGUCCUUCUGACUUAAAGUCUGAGCAGCAAAGCUCUGCUGUGCAGCUGUCUUGCCGACAGGGAAGGCCACUCUCAGGGUGACUUGUCUGGAGAUUUUUCUGAAUUCUGGCUCCAGGUCAAGAUUAGAAAGAGUGCAUGGAUGAGGUGUCCCCAGCCUAUGAGCUGUCUGGAGACGUGGCUGCUCCAUCACCAGAACCCCUCCGUGCAGUUCCCUUAGCUCCUGUGGCAUCAGGAAACGUUUCUAGUUGUGGGACAUGCUCCCUGGGUUCAAUCGCACAUAACCUGUGAUUAUGAACAUUAGUGCCAUGCUCUAAUCAAAGAAAAGUUAGAUUCUCCUCGACCGGAAGGCACUAGGGAGCGACAGGGAUGUGGGUGAGGAGACAACCCAGGGAGAGAAACUUCAUUUCAGGUGGGAAAUCGGGACUCCAACCAUGCAUGAAUGUUAGUCAGGGACCAUUGGUCCUUUGUUGGGCUGAGUCAUUUUUUUUUGGUAUAGUUUUGGAUAUAAGGCAGCCUUCAUAACCACGCGCAGUUCCCUGAGGAUGGUACUACCUCUCAGAAGCUGGAUAGACAGAUGCCUGUAGAUCUUGUCUUCUACCUUCUUUUUAUUUUCUUAAAACAGUUCUGCUCUACUACACAUACAAGCCUCUUGGAUGGUUUUUAACUUUUAAAAUUGUAGAAAACAAUUGUGGAAAACAGUUUUAAUAAAUAAAAAUUUGAAUAUUGAUUAAACAAAGUAAAGCACAAUAUGUAUAACUGACAAACCUCAGAGAUGAAUUAGAAAUCCUGUAGACAAGCUCAAGAAAAUCAUUUGGUAUAUUGCAAACUUGGCAUCUCACAUGCCUGGAACCGGCUCUUAGUGAACAGCAUUAGGACAGUUGAAUAUGGAAUUUGAAAAAAGAUUGGGGUUAUACCAGACUCCAUAUAUUAGGAUAAAGUCUACAUAAUCAGAGAACUAUACAUGACGGAUGACAAAGUGGAAGGUAACUGUGCUAGGUUCACUGCAUAAGACUAAGAUAAACAGGCAUGGUGAAGUACGUGGAUACAUGCUCGAAUUUGACUUGCACUACUAACAAGAAACAAGCCUGGAUAUGCAGUAAUACUGAAAGCAGGGAGCAGCAGCCAGAGGUGGGAAAGCUAACAGAUACAUAGGUAAGGCCAUAUGAACACGGAUUACACCCAGCAUUAUAGCAUCAGUAUUUGCUGAGGCUCAUUACCCACUUAAACAAGUUGAGUCUGAAAAAGGCAUUCUGUCUUCUAAAAGAAUGGUGAUUGUCAUAACUGGUAUAUUCCUACAGCGUUCUCAGGAAGACACAAAUGAGGUAAACUUAACAACCAUGCCUUAUCUGUGAAUACAAUCCAGUAGAAAAAUACUGGGAGGAAAGCAAUGUAUCAGUGUUCCAUCUGCAGCUGCAGUGGCUCUAUAAGUCAGUGGAUCGUGUGCAGAACUCACGUCCCUGAGCUUGGCUCCUCAGAACUCAUUCAGAGACAGGUAUGACAGACAGCACACAUUCGUAAUCCCAGCACCACAUAGGAAAUACUUGAAGCAAAACUCCUUGGGAGUUUGCAGACUAGCUAACCUGAUGCACACAGCUACAAACAAGAGACUGUUUCAAGGAAAAUGGAAGAUCAUACCAUGGUUACCAAAGCAAGGUUAUGAUCUCCACAUGGACACCAGGGCACACUGACCCCUGCACUUGCAUUCAUAUGCACACACACAUCAUAUACAUUUUCUGUAAGGUGUGUUUUUAUGAAUGUCUUGCCUGCAUGUUUGUGUCUGCACUGCAUACAUGUCUGGUUCCUGCAGAGGUCAAAAGAGGGUGCUGAGUGUCCUGGAACUGGAAAGUCUUGAGCUUCCAUGUUGGUGCUGGGAACCAAAUCCAGGUCAUCUGCAAGAACAGCCAGUGCUCUAAACCUCUGAUAUCUUGCCCCAGCCCUGAAACAAAAAUUAGAAAGAUAAUCAAGGGACAUCAAUGGGAAGUAGGUGACAAUGUAGUGAGUGGUUUAAAGCAGACAGAGGAAACAGUCUAAGUGUUGAAUUGUGUGUCUAGUUAAACCACCAAAUACGUGAGGAGAAGCGGGAGGAAAUGCUUACCAUCCUUUAUGCAUCUCCCACUCUUCAGAGAUGAAGGAAACACAUGACUAGACAAAAUGAGCUAUGGAUCUGGGGAAGCCAGAUCUGAACUGUUCUGAGAAUCAAGAGGAAGGCUGGAGAGAUGGCUCAGCAGUUAGGAGCACUAACUGCUCUUCCAGAGGACCUGGGUUCAAUCCCCAGUAACCAUGUGUAAUGCUCACAACCAUCUGUAAUGGGAUCUGAUGCCCUCUUCUCAUGUGUCCAAAGACAGCGACAGUGUACUCAUACAAAGAAAAUAAAUAAAUAAAUCUUUUUAAAAUAUUUUUUAAAAAGACUAGAAGAUGUUGCAUUGGUUACAAGUGGAUUUUGACUUAUCAGAUACCCAAAGGUUAUGAAAUAGAUUUAUAAAUCCCUAUUUUAAUUUUUAUCUGUACUUAAACAGAGAAGUAUUUUAAGAAAUCUUUAAAAAUGGCUUUAUUUCCCCAGAUUUUUGCCAGCAGUACUCCAAUUUUGUUCAGAUGCUAAGGAUCCAAUUUUCUUACCUGAAGCUGGCCCUUGCCUAGCCUAUAAGAGGUGGUAUUUGAUUUGUGUGUGCUAGUGGCAGUGAGCAAACUCCCAUGUGCUAAUUCAUUUAAAAGUAUGCAUGGAUUGUGGACAGUAGUGAGGGGUGAUGAGGGUCUGUCUGCUGAAGUGCCAGCAGAUGGUAACAUCCCUGGCGUCUUCAAUCAGGUGUACUUUUCUUCCCCUGGAGCCUUUAAAAUCUGGCUUGUAGCAUCUGAACCUUACAACCUUCUGGAAGCACUGUCAUUUUUAAUUUUAUUUUUGCUUCAAUGCAGUGGUAUUUCGCCUGCAUGUAUGUGUGUUCGAGGGUGUUGAAUUCCCUGGAACUAGAGUUACAGACAGUUGUGAGCUGCCACGUGAGUGCUGGGAAUUGAACCCAGGUCCACUACAAGAGUAGCCAGUACUCUUAACCACUGAGCCAUCCCUCCAGCCCUUAAAUCUCAUUAUUUUGAUGCUUAAAUUAUCCUAGAUUUAGACAGUAGGCACACGACUCCAUUUUUGGGUUUUGGUUUGUGUGGUUUGAGCAAUUCCAGACAAGCUAGCAUGAGAUGCUCCGAGCUCAGCCCGUUUUGCCUGUUUCUCUCUGGAAUCAACUCCCCACAGAACACUAGUUCCUUGGAAACAGGUUCCCAACUAGGCUAGUUUCUAUUUGAUGUUUCAGUUUCCCAGCCCACUCUGUAGAUUCAAAGAGGAGAGGUAAGUGUGUAGUAUUAACUUCUCUAGUUCUCAAAACAGUUCACCUAUACCAUAUACCAGUGAUAUGUGCUGCUGACAAUUCUGAGCUCAGUUCCAUCUGAAAGGAUUCAUUCAAAUUCUCUAUUUUAUAGUUGUUACCUUUCUCUUAGUCAGUGAGAAAUUUGGCUAUAAUUAUCUGAAAUGCAGCGAUAUAUCUGCUAAAGGCCUGAAUGGGUCAGUCUUCUGUCCCUACCAUGCUGGCCCUGCCAUUAUCUCUAGAGCUGUCCUCAUGACAGAGCAUCAUAACCCACCGGCCUUGAUUACUCCUGGUGACACAUCUUAUAUGAGGUGCCAUCAUAUCUCGUCUGUUGAUUUUGUGCUAUCAGUUGAUUCUGAAGAUGAAGGGGCAGUAAACAGUCACUGUCAACUAAAGAGUGACUAUUGACUUAGCUUUCAUAUUGACAUAGCAAUAUUUUUUAAAAUAUCUACUCCAAAAUGCUAUUAGAUUAAAAGAAGUAGGUUUUAAAUAUCUUGAGCUAAACACUGUGGUAUUUACAUAAAGACACACAGAAGAACACCACAGCAUAAAAUGAACCCACAUUUAUACACACAAGUGAUUUCUGACACAGGUGUCAGGACAAUUCAGUGCUGAAAGGAUGGCAUUUUUACCAAAUGGUGCUGAGAAGUCCUUAUGUCCACAUGUCAAAGAAUGAACUCAAAUCAUUUACCUAGUGCCAUAUACAAAAGUUUGCUCAGGUCUUUGCAUGUCAGUAGACAUCUGUACUCAGGAAGAAUACAGAACUGUGAGUUUGAGGUGGGACUGGCAGUUUAAAUCAGUCUGAGCUACACAGUAAGCUGCUAUUUC